rnacentral:rRNA from 1 species
GGAUUCCCCUAGUAACUGCGAGUGAAGCGGGAAAAGCUCAAAUUUAAAAUCUGGCGGUCUUUGGCCGUCCGAGUUGUAGUCUGGAGAAGUGCUUUCCGCGCUGGACCGUGUAUAAGUCUCUUGGAACAGAGCGUCAUAGAGGGUGAGAAUCCCGUCUUUGACACGGACUACCAGUGCUUUGUGAUGCGCUCUCAAAGAGUCGAGUUGUUUGGGAAUGCAGCUCAAAAUGGGUGGUGAAUUCCAUCUAAAGCUAAAUAUUGGCGAGAGACCGAUAGCGAACAAGUACCGUGAGGGAAAGAUGAAAAGCACUUUGGAAAGAGAGUUAAACAGUACGUGAAAUUGCUGAAAGGGAAACGCUUGAAGUCAGUCGCGUCGUCCGGAACUCAGCCUUGCUUUCGCUUGGUGCACUUUCCGGUUGACGGGCCAGCAUCGAUUUUGACCGUCGGAAAAGGGCUGGAGUAAUGUGGCACCUUCGGGUGUGUUAUAGACUCUGGUCGCAUACGGCGGUUGGGAUCGAGGAACGCAGCGCGCCGCAAGGCAGGGGUUCGCCCACUUUCGCGCUUAGGAUGCUGGCAUAAUGGCUUUAAACGACCCGUCUUGAAACACGGACCAAGGAGUCUAACAUACCUGCGAGUGUUUGGGUGGAAAACCCGAGCGCGUAAUGAAAGUGAAAG